GGAUAAAUCCAAAGAAACAGAGAGAUCAAAGGAAGAUACAGAGCUGCGAACCGCUGGAGCCUCGGCUACCAUGAGAGCCAUGGCAAGAACUGUUUUCUUCCUGGUUCCCAUAUCCAAGGCAGCUCCUGAAACCGACUCCUGCAGAAAGCCUCCACUCCACCAACUAUAACAAGAUAUUCGUGGAGGACUGGACUGAGUACCCGGAUUUUUUCAGAAAACGCAUAGCAUUUAACAGUUUUGUGCUUGUAGUGAGUGCUUAAUAAAAGUCUCAUUAGA